rnacentral:rRNA from 1 species
CUUCCGGCAGGCUUACACAUGCAAGUCGAGCGGUAACAGAUCUAGCUUGCUAGAUGCUGACGAGCGGCGGACGGGUGAGUAAUGCAUAGGAAACUGCCCAGUAGUGGGGGAUAGCCCGGGGAAACCCGGAUUAAUACCGCGUACGCCCUUCGGGGGAAAGCAGGGGAUCUUCGGACCUUGCGCUAUUGGAUGUGCCUAUGUCGGAUUAGCUAGUUGGUGGGGUAAAGGCCUACCAAGGCGACGAUCCGUAGCUGGUCUGAGAGGAUGAUCAGCCACAUCGGGACUGAGACACGGCCCGAACUCCUACGGGAGGCAGCAGUGGGGAAUAUUGGACAAUGGGGGCAACCCUGAUCCAGCCAUGCCGCGUGUGUGAAGAAGGCUUUCGGGUUGUAAAGCACUUUCAGUGAGGAGGAAAAGUUGGUCACUAAUAUUGGUCAGCCUUGACGUUACUCACAGAAGAAGCACCGGCUAACUCCGUGCCAGCAGCCGCGGUAAUACGGAGGGUGCAAGCGUUAAUCGGAAUUACUGGGCGUAAAGCGCGCGUAGGUGGUUUGAUAAGCGAGAUGUGAAAGCCCCGGGCUUAACCUGGGAACGGCAUUUCGAACUGU